GUGCGGCCAGGCGGAGGUGAGUGCGCGGCGGCCGGAUGGGCGGGACGGGCGUGGAGGACGCCGAGCACCGUGGCGCGCGCUCACGUCCGCGUCCCCAAGGGCUGCGCUCCCUCAAGCGCAGUGCCCAGAACUCGGAGCCAGCCCGGCCCGGGGGACCCUGCUGGCCAAGGAGGUCGUCAGUCCGGUCUUGUCUUCCAGACCCGGAGGACCGAAGCUUCCGGACGACGAGGAACCGCCCAACAUGGCCUCGGAGAGUGGGAAGCUUUGGGGUGGCCGGUUUGUGGGUGCAGUGGACCCCAUCAUGGAGAAGUUCAACGCGUCCAUUGCCUACGACCGGCACCUUUGGGAGGUGGAUGUUCAAGGCAGCAAAGCCUACAGCAGGGGCCUGGAGAAGGCAGGGCUCCUCACCAAGGCCGAGAUGGACCAGAUACUCCAUGGCCUAGACAAGGUGGCUGAGGAGUGGGCCCAGGGCACCUUCAAACUGAACUCCAAUGAUGAGGACAUCCACACAGCCAAUGAGCGCCGCCUGAAGGAGCUCAUUGGUGAAACGGCAGGGAAGCUGCACACGGGACGGAGCCGGAAUGACCAGGUGCUUUAGCCCCUCCACCCCCUGCUCCGUGUUGUCCCAACCUUGAGGAGCCCAGGGGGCAGUUAGAGUUCUGCAGCGGUCCUGGCUCCUCAGGGAAGCAACACGUCGGCCUCCCUGAGCACCAUCUCCUCCUUGCACAGGUGGUCACGGACCUCAGGCUGUGGAUGCGGCAGACCUGCUCCACGCUCUCGGGCCUCCUCUGGGAGCUCAUUAGGACCAUGGUGGAUCGGGCAGAGGCGUGAGUCCUACAGGGACACCCAGGGGGCAGACAGAGGUGUGAUGGAAGCCUGAACAGGAGACCUAGGGGGCAGGGGUGAACAGCGUGGGGGUGCCAGGCCCUGGGGGACAGGGGCAUCCCAGAACUCCAGGAUCGAGGCAGAGCAGCCAGGAGUGGGCCAUUUCCUGCA
rnacentral:sRNA from 1 species